ACUCAAAUGAAUAGACGGGGACUUGCACAAGCGGUGGAUGAUGCGGCUCAAUUCGAUGACAAACGAAGAACCUCACCAGGGUUUGAAAGUGUACUGAAAGCCUUUGGAAACAUUGGCCCUCGCAAGACAGUACGCCAGGUGAUGCAUGGUCGUCGUCAGUUCGUGGCUUGAGUUGUUCCCUUCAGUGGGGUAACGAACGCAACCCUCGUUGCCUGUUUUAUAUGUCAGGCGAGACUGCCCCCUCACGGGGGAGGAAGGUGAGGAUGACGCCAGAUCAGCAUGUCCCUCUGAUACCCUGGGCUGCACGCAUCAUACAAUGCACGCGACAACGAGACGCAAUGCCGCAAGGCGGAGCAAAUCUUUAGAAACGCGUGCUCAGUUCGGAUUGAGGGCUGCAACUCGCCCUCAUGAAGCCGGAAUCGCUAGUAAUCGCGGGUCAGCUAUACCGCGGUGAAUACGUUCUCAAGUCUUGUACACACCGCCCGU
rnacentral:rRNA from 1 species